AUUGAACGCUGGCGGCAGGCUUAACACAUGCAAGUCGAGCGGGGGAGGUUGCUUCGGUAACUGACCUAGCGGCGGACGGGUGAGUAAUGCUUAGGAAUCUGCCUAUUAGUGGGGGACAACAUUCCGAAAGGGAUGCUAAUACCGCAUACGCCCUACGGGGGAAAGCAGGGGAUCUUUGGACCUUGCGCCAAUAGUUGAGCCUAAGUCGGAUUAGCUAGUUGGUGGGGUAAAGGCCUACCAAGGCGACGAUCUGUAGCGGGUCUGAGAGGAUGAUCCGCCACACUGGGACUGAGACACGGCCCAGACUCCUACGGGAGGCAGCAGUGGGGAAUAUUGGACAAUGGGCGGAAGCCUGAUCCAGCCAUGCCGCGUGUGUGAAGAAGGCCUUUUGGUUGUAAAGCACUUUAAGCGAGGAGGAGGCUCUUAAGGUUAAUACCCUUGAUGAGUGGACGUUACUCGCAGAAUAAGCACCGGCUAACUCUGUGCCAGCCGCCGCGGUAAGAC
rnacentral:rRNA from 1 species